rnacentral:rRNA from 1 species
AGCGAACGCUGGCGGCAGGCCUAACACAUGCAAGUCGAACGAAGUCUUCGGACUUAGUGGCGGACGGGUGAGUAACACGUGGGAACGUACCUUUUGGUUCGGAACAACUCAGGGAAACUCGAGCUAAUACCGGAUGAGCCCUUAGGGGGAAAGAUUUAUCGCCGAAAGAGCGGGCCGCGUUAGAUUAGCUAGUUGGUGAGGUAAAGGCUCACCAAGGCUACGAUCUAUAGCUGGUCUGAGAGGAUGAUCAGCCACACUGGGACUGAGACACGGCCCAGACUCCUACGGGAGGCAGCAGUGGGGAAUCUUGCGCAAUGGGCGAAAGCCUGACGCAGCCAUGCCGCGUGAAUGAUGAAGGUCUUAGGAUUGUAAAAUUCUUUUACCAGGGACGAUAAUGACGGUACCUGGAGAAAAAGCCCCGGCUAACUUCGUGCCAGCAGCCGCCGUAACAC